GUGCCAGCCGCCGCGGUAAUACGUAGAGUGCAAGCGUUGUCCGGAAUUACUGGGCGUAAAGCGUACGUAGGCGGCUUGUUAAGCAAGAUGUGAAAGCCCCGGGCUCAACCUGGGAAUGGCAUUUUGAACUGGCAGGCUCGAGUUCUGAAGAGGGUGGUAGAAUUUCCAGUGUAGCGGUGAAAUGCGUAGAUAUUGGAAGGAAUACCAGUGGCGAAGGCGGCCACCUGGUCAGAAACUGACGCUGAGGUACGAAAGCGUGGGGAGCAAACAGGAUUAGAAACCCCAGUAGUCC
rnacentral:rRNA from 1 species